rnacentral:rRNA from 1 species
CACGCGUUCCCAUACCGAACACGACCGUUAAGCCUUCCAGCGCCGAUGGUACUUGGACCGAAGGGUCCCGGGAGAGUAGGACGUCGCCAAGC